CUUUGGUGCUGAAAUAACUAAGCCAUCUCUGAAAGGUCCAGUGUUUACAAACUGAGACAGAAAUAUGUUCCUAUCAUAAAUUGAAUCCAGAAAGGAGAUUUAAAAUCUAAAGUGAUGCAAAUGUAUGUGGUACAUUCUGUUGCUUUUAUUUCCUUUUAACUUUUUUUCUUCCACUGGUCAAUAGAUUCAUCCCUUGACUACAACUACUACAAAAAGAGAUAAUGAGCAUUGUGGGAAAGCAAUUAUAAAUUUCUAGCAAAAAGGUAAAUAAUACUUAUUUCA
rnacentral:lncRNA from 1 species